rnacentral:rRNA from 1 species
UCCUACGGGGGGCAGCAGUGGGGAAUUUUGGACAAUGGGGGCAACCCUGAUCCAGCCAUGCCGCGUGCGGGAAGAAGGCCUUCGGGUUGUAAACCGCUUUUAGCCGGGAAGAAAAGGCAUCUCCUAAUACGGGGUGUUCUUGACGGUACCGGCGGAAUAAGCACCGGCUAACUACGUGCCAGCAGCCGCGGUAAUACGUAGGGUGCGAGCGUUAAUCGGAAUUACUGGGCGUAAAGCGUGCGCAGGCGGUUCGUUAAGUCUGAUGUGAAAGCCCCGGGCUCAACCUGGGAAUGGCAUUGGAAACUGGCGGGCUGGAGUGCGGCAGAGGGGGGUGGAAUUCCGCGUGUAGCAGUGAAAUGCGUAGAGAUGCGGAGGAACACCGAUGGCGAAGGCAGCCCCCUGGGCCGACACUGACGCUCAGGCACGAAAGCGUGGGGAGCAAACAGGAUUAGAUACCCUAGUAGUCC